CGAGUCUUCGCCAACCCCAGCACCACCAAACUAUGCUUCACACUUCCCCUUGUUCAUCCCCAGUCGCCUAUGUUGUUGUCCCAUGAAAGUCCCUUUCUUUCUGGUUUCUAACUACUGCAAAAUAUUUCUUUUAAUUUUGCUUUGCGUAGGCCAAUCAUAUCAAGUGUUGCAGUAGCUUUGAUUUUGUUGAGUCUUGCUUUCCUUGUAUCUAUAAAGUCAGUUUGUUGUGAUAUGUUUAAUAAAUGAAACAGUGCAUAUGAGUAAAUAAGAAUAAGUGAUUGUUAAACAGUGCGUGCUGAGAUUCUUUUGUAAUGGUGACUUCUAGAAGUUGUUAUGCCAGAUCAAAGAGUCUUCAAAAAGCGGUUAUGGUUGGAUUUUGUUAUUUGUUCUUAGCAAUUUGUUAGGCAGGAUAACUUAUGUGAGCAGGAAAGUGAGAAUCUGUUGUAGAGUUGUUAGAUUGUUAGCUAUAAAUGAUGCAACUGAUUGCAUAGAAACUAUUCUUGAUUUCUUAAUGAAAGUUUAUUGAGAUUUGAGUUCCAUUCUCUGUGUUUCGUUCCUUUCUAUUUUUCUGUUAUAACAUUUGGUAUCAGAGCGGUGGUCCACGGCCAUGGUAGGGGUGGAGACGCGAUCCUAAGAGUGGUGGAAAGAGUUGGCUUCGAUGGUGA
rnacentral:misc_RNA from 1 species